GUACCAUCACAUUUUUCACGAUUUGUGCGUAUAAUGUGCCCAUACAGAUGCAGAUUAAACAUUUUCCUUGAGAGGAAUCCGUCUCGAUAAAAGGAAAAAGGCAAUAUUUAACCAUGUAGAAGAGAUCACUAGACUAAAAAGACAACUAGACAUUCAAGUUAGACGAACUACACAACAUAUGAAACCAAAAGAGACAACAUAUAUAGGGCCUGUCCAGACUACAUGGUCCCCAUAACGAUAGUACCUAGCUUAAGAUAAUAUAAACUAGAAAGCUGAAACACAAUAGUACAUCCUAGGAACUAGACACAUGAGAAAGAAAAAGACCCUUUUAUUAACACAGGGAAGAGGACCAAAGGAUUAAAAGACUAUUGUGUUCAACUAGUUUAGCUCUUGGUCUUGUACUUUGAUUCGUCUAUCUCUACUCCUUCUCGCUGCGCACGCUCCCCACCGGUCUCUUCGCCGGUGCUCAAACCUCCCUUGCGUCCCAUUUCCUGGUAGCCUUCCGUUCCCAACUGCUCCUUUCUCGUCUGCCCUCCACGGCUCCUCCCUUGUAAAACAAAAAUAGCAGUACAUAUGCAGUUAAGGAGAAGAAAAUGAGUACCAAAAAGUAAAACAGUAUGUUGAUAUAUACCCUCAGCAAGGUGUUCCUGAGCUUCAAGACUUUUCCCACCUGUGCCACCUGGAACUACAGUUUCUCCUUCUUUUGCCCUACGGUCGAGCUCAGACCUUUCUUGCUGUGAUGCCAUAAUUUCUUGUUCCUUUGUUGUGGACAUACACAAAGCAAAGUGCGGUUUUUAGUACGAUAUUCACUUACCG
rnacentral:lncRNA from 1 species